GUGGGGAAUUUUGGACAAUGGGCGCAAGCCUGAUCCAGCCAUUCCGCGUGCAGGAUGAAGGCCUUAGGGUUGUAAACUGCUUUUGUACGGAACGAAAAGCCUCUGGUUAAUACCCGGGGGUCAUGACGGUAACGUAAGAAUAAGCACCGGCUAACUACGUGCCAGCAGCCGCGGUAAUACGUAGGGUGCGAGCGUUAAUCGGAAUUACUGGGCGUAAAGCGUGCGCAGGCGGUGAUGUAAGACAGUUGUGAAAACCCCGGGCUCAACCUGGGAACUGCAUCUGUGACUGCAUUGCUGGAGUGCGGCAGAGGGGGAUGGAAUUCCGCGUGUAGCAGUGAAAUUCGUAGAUAUGCGGAGGAACACCGAUGGCGAAGGCAAUCCCCUGGGCCUGCACUGACGCUCAUGCACGAAAGCGUGGGGAGCAAACAGGAUUAGAUACCCGUGUAGUCC
rnacentral:rRNA from 1 species